AUGGAUUUAAAAAGAAAAGAUGGACCGC
rnacentral:sRNA from 1 species